rnacentral:tRNA from 1 species
GCCUGGGUGGCUCAGUCGGUUGAGCGUCCGACUUUGGCUCAGGUCAUGAUCUCACAGUUCGUGGGUUCGAGCCCCGCAUCGGGCU